GGGUGCCAAGCAUAAUAUUUAUACAUUAACUAAUACAUAUACACAUAAAUAUACAGAGUUUCAUCCGAGAAGUGCGGGUGCCGUGCCACCCCAUACAUUCUACAUAGAUCCGCCCCUGUAUCUAGCGAAAUCUCGUAACUGGGGUCUGAGAAAAGUGACGUGUAUGCAGCCUUACCCUACCUUAUGAAGUUACAGAGGUUGUUUUUGAUAAACUCUCAGUUCAUGUAACUCUUGUGAGCAGCUAGCAACAAUAUAUCUAGUGUAAUCUCAUAACUGGGUUUUGAGAAAAGUGGUGUGUAUGCAGCCUUACCCUACCUUAUGAAGUUACAAAGGUUAGUUUUCGAUAGACUCUC
rnacentral:lncRNA from 1 species